rnacentral:tRNA from 1 species
GGCCCGAUAGCCAAGUUAGAAAGGCAAAGGUCUGCAAAACCUUCAUGCGCGGGUGCAACUCCCGCUCGGGCCU